UAAUACGUAGGGGGCGAGCGUUGUCCGGAUUUAUUGGGCGUAAAGAGCUCGUAGGCGGUUUGGCAAGUCGGGUGUGAAAACUCCGGGCUCAACUCGGAGACGCCACUCGAUACUGCCAUGACUCGAGUCCGGUAGGGGAGUGCGGAAUUCCUGGUGUAGCGGUGAAAUGCGCAGAUAUCAGGAGGAACACCGGUGGCGAAGGCGGCACUCUGGGCCGGUACUGACGCUGAGGAGCGAAAGCGUGGGGAGCGAACAGGAUUAGAUACCCUGGUAGUCCACGCCGUAAACGUUGGGCACUAGGUGUGGGGCUCGAUCGACGGGCUCCGUGCCGUAGCUAACGCAUUAAGUGCCCCGCCUGGGAAGUACGGCCGCAAGGCUA
rnacentral:rRNA from 1 species